UACGAAGGGUGCAAACGUUGCUCGGAAUCAUUGGGCGUAAAGCGCACGUAGGCGGCCCCAUAAGUCGGAUGUGAAAUCCCUCGGCUCAACCGAGGAAGUGCAUCCGAAACUGCGGGGCUCGAGUAUGGAAGAGGGUCGCAGAAUUCCCGGUGUAGAGGUGAAAUUCGUAGAUAUCGGGAGGAAUACCAGUGGCGAAGGCGGCGACCUGGGCCAAUACUGACGCUGAGGAGCGAAAGCGUGGGUAGCAAACAGG
rnacentral:rRNA from 1 species